UAAUAACGUAUAUUCUGAAAAUCAAACUCGGCAAAUAAACGAAUACGUUGAAAAGUUGAAACUCAAAUUCGUAAAAGCCCUAAAUGAUGAAAUGAAUAAUGCAGAAUUAUUUAACAGUUAUUACACAGAAAAGAUUUUCUUAGUAAAGGAGUAUUCCAAAAUUCUAAGCAAGCUGUCAAUUCGCAACAAUCAAAUCGGAAGACAGAGACAGUAUUAUAAUAGAUUUUUCCCUCAGUGGAAAUUAUAAAAAAUUUUACAUGCGUGGACAUACUUCCUAUGAAUAAUUU